rnacentral:rRNA from 1 species
UCCAGACUCCUACGGGAGGCAGCAGUGAGGAAUAUUGGUCAAUGGCCGAGAGGCUGAACCAGCCAAGUCGCGUGAGGGAAGACGGCCCUACGGGUUGUAAACCUCUUUUGUCGGGGAGCAAAGCGAACCACGUGUGGUUCAUUGAGAGUACCCGAAGAAAAAGCAUCGGCUAACUCCGUGCCAGCAGCCGCGGUAAUACGGAGGAUGCGAGCGUUAUCCGGAUUUAUUGGGUUUAAAGGGUGCGCAGGCGGAAAAUCAAGUCAGCGGUAAAAUUGAGGGGCUCAACCUCUUCGAGCCGUUGAAACUGGUUUUCUUGAGUGAGUGAGAAGUAUGCGGAAUGCGUGGUGUAGCGGUGAAAUGCAUAGAUAUCACGCAGAACUCCGAUUGCGAAGGCAGCAUGCCGGCUCCACACUGACGCUGAGGCACGAAAGCGUGGGUAUCGAACAGGAUUAGAUACCCCAGUAC